UACGAAGGGGGCUAGCGUUGCUCGGAAUCACUGGGCGUAAAGGGUGCGUAGGCGGGUCUUUUAAGUCAGGGGGUGAAAUCCUGGAGCUCAACUCCAGAACUGCCUUUGAUACUGAGGAUCUUGAGUAUGGGAGAGGUGAGUGGAACUGCGAGUGUAGAGGUGAAAUUCGUAGAUAUUCGCAAGAACACCAGUGGCGAAGGCGGCUCACUGGCCCAUUCUGACGCUGAGGCACGAAAGCGUGGGGAGCAACAGG
rnacentral:rRNA from 1 species